CCUACGGGUGGCAGCAGUCGAGAAUCAUUCACAAUGGGCGAAAGCCUGAUGGUGUGACGCCGCGUGGAGGAUGAAGGUCUUCGGAUUGUAAACUCCUGUCAUGUGGGAGUAAAGCCGGGCGAGUCACUGCGCGCCGGUCUGAGAGUACCACAAGAGGAAGAGACGGCUAACUCUGUGCCAGCAGCCGCGGUAAUACAGAGGUCUCAAGCGUUGUUCGGAAUCACUGGGCGUAAAGGGUGCGUAGGCCGCACGGCAAGUCAGAUGUGAAAGCCCGGAGCUCAACUCCGGAAUGGCAUCCGAUACUGCCGUGCUCGAGGACUGGAGAGGAGUCUGGAAUUCACAGUGGAGCAGUGAAAUGCGUAGAUAUUGUGAGGAACACUAGUGGCGAAGGCGAGACUCUGGACAGUUCCUGACGCUGAGGCACGAAGGCCAGGGGAGCA
rnacentral:rRNA from 1 species